rnacentral:lncRNA from 1 species
UUUCCUCUACAUUUGGCUACAAAGAAGAUGAAUAGAUUGUGAAUUGAAAGUACGCCAAAGGUAGCUGUGCUUUGUGCUGUGGAAAUGUCCAUAGUCCCAGCAUUUAGAGACAGACACCAGCAAACCCUCAGCCAACCAGGGCUACAUAACAAGGAUAAUAUGGGAAAUCUCACUACCUUUCUUAUGAUAGCAAAAUUCAGGGGCUGGAGAGAUGGGUCAGUGGUUAAGAGCACUGUCUGUUCUUCCAGAGGUCCUGAGUUCAAUUCCCAGCAACCACAAACUGGUUUACAACCAUCUGUAAUUGGAUCCAGUGCCCUUUUCCGUCUUGUGUCUUAAGGCAGCUAUAGUGUACACAUAUACACAAAAUAAAUAUUUCUUUUUUAAAAAGAUAGCAAAAUUUAUAUAACUUACCAAAUAAAACAUCUAGUAUAUAGCAAAUUUCUGUGCAGGACAAAUUUCUACCCAGAAUUAUGGGAAUUUGCUAUUUUACUAUUAAAUCUCUUGCUCAGCCUAUUAUCUCAAGAGGAUAAUAAAAUAAGAUUAAAUCUUGUCACUGUCCGUAUCUCCUGCUCCAGGACAAAUAAUUU